rnacentral:rRNA from 1 species
UCCAGCAGCUAGAUCAUCCUGCAACUCACGACUGGUAACCCACUGGUUAGCUUAGCAGGUGUGAGCCUGGUCAGUACCUGGAUGGGAGACCUCUUGGGAAAAAUUAAGGCUGCUGCUGGAA